UAGGGAAUCUUCGGCAAUGGGGGGAACCCUGACCGAGCAACGCCGCGUGAGUGAAGAAGGUUUUCGGAUCGUAAAGCUCUGUUGUUAAGGAAGAACGAGUGUGAGAAUGGAAAGUUCAUACUGUGACGGUACUUAACCAGAAAGGGACGGCUAACUACGUGCCAGCAGCCGCGGUAAUACGUAGGUCCCGAGCGUUGUCCGGAUUUAUUGGGCGUAAAGCGAGCGCAGGCGGUUAGAUAAGUCUGAAGUUAAAGGCAGUGGCUCAACCAUUGUAGGCUUUGGAAACUGUUUAACUUGGGUGCAGAAGGGGAGAGUGGAAUUCCAUGUGUAGCGGUGAAAUGCGUAGAUAUAUGGAGGAACACCGGUGGCGAAAGCGGCUCUCUGGUCUGUAACUGACGCUGAGGCUCGAAAGCGUGGGGAGCGAACAGG
rnacentral:rRNA from 1 species